UACGGAAGGGGCGAGCGUUGUUCGGAAUCAUUGGGCGUAAAGGGCGUGUAGGUGGUUCUGUAUGUCUACCGUGAAAGCGUACGGCUCAACCGUAUUUAGUCGGUAGAAACUGCAGGACUUGAGGCUGGGAGGGGCUGGUGGAAUUCCCCGUGUAGCGGUGAAAUGCGUAGAGAUGGGGGAGAACACUCGUGGCGAAGGCGGCCAGCUAGACCAGUUCUGACACUGAGGCGCGAAAGCGUGGGGAGCAAACAGG
rnacentral:rRNA from 1 species